AAGUGAGUGAAAAAUGGAUGCAAGAACAGAACAACGCUACCGUACUCCGGCGUCCACCCCGAAAGCCUUCGGACAAUGGCUAUAUUCCAUUCCCUUCCUCUGCAUUCCCAACACAUCCGCCGCAUCCACUUCUAUCAACACCCAUAUUGGCCUUUAAAUAUUCACUCAACUACUUUCACAAAUCGCAUUAUUUUCAUUCUCCUUUUCUCUCUAUUCCUCACUUCACUUCCUUCAGUGAUCCGGCUAACAAUGAGGUGCCCCAAAACCAUAAGAUUGAAGUGCUAUCCAAGACAGUUUAUCUGGAAUUUGGAUACAAUAAGCGUAAGCGCUGGUCAGAUGAAGAAAACAAUGUGCUCAAGUCCUUCUUAGAUGCAAAAAGUUGGAAAGACAUCAAUUGGAGAGACAUCGGGAAUGAAGAAAAACUGUUUGGUCGGGAUACGGAAGCGAUCCGGGACAAAGCAAGGAAAUUAUUUUUUAAAAAGGAAAGACAAGAAAAAGGGUUCUUAGAGUCUCGGCGUAAAAGAAAAGGAUCAUGGCAAAUAGUAAUUCAGCUAACAAUGUGGUGCCCCAAAAUCGUAUGAUUGAAGAGCAGUCUGAGGAAGUUAAUCUGAAAAUUGGAUACAAUCGUGGGAAAAAGGUGAAGAAGAUAGCAGAGAACUGUGAACUUCCUUGGGAUGUGCUUAAUAUCAUUUCCAAAACAUUAGAUUUUGACGAUCUCUUUCAGUUUGCCGUUGUGUGCAAGAAUUGGAGGGCUUUUUAUUGGAGAAAUUUACUUGUAUCGCAAGAACCGUUACUUCUUCAAGUUUCGUAUAAUCGUCAUGAGGAAUCAUAUUCCUUUAUUAGCUUGCCCGACCGAAAGAUUUAUUUAUUGAAGAUGAUGAACUUCAUCAGCUAUGUCUAUGUUACGUCUUCUAGCGGAUAUUUUAUCAUGGCAGGAUUUUGUAAUUCAUUUUUGCUAAUCAAUCCAUUUACAAGGAUAAAGAAGGUAAUCACUGCCUCUACCUUUGAAGUUGUUCCUGAUAUGUUUGAUAACCAUGCCUUGCUUGCUUUUGGCAAAUGAUCUGAGGAAUUUGUCUUGGUGGUUUCAUGCAAAAGUUCUAGGAGAUUGCAUGUCUAUCAAUCUCGAAAUUGUGGUUGGGUUGCUUAUUCGACAAUGGGAAAUCUAGGGAGGGUUGUUGACUUUGUGGUUUUGCAUAAUAUAAUAUAUGUUGUCACUGACAAGGCCACAUAGGGGUACUCAGCUUGAAUUCUGCAAAUAUUAAAUUUCUAAAACUGCUGUGAUGAGCAACUUUUGGUGGUUGAUUUAUCGUGCAAGAAAAUGAGGAAUGUAUACAAGAUAGACUUCUCAACCAUGAAUUAUGUCAAACUCGAAGCUUUGGGCAACAUUGCAUUAUUUUAUGCUGGGAAGAGAAACUUUUACGCAUUGAGCAACCCUAAUAGGUGGGGAUAUGAGAGUAACUCUGUGUAUGUCAUCAAUCUUUCAACAUAUACACAAUGUAGUGUGUAUUCAGGGGAUGGUAAAAAAUUACAAAAAUGUAUUACGCUUCCAGCUCCUCAUGGAACAUUUUCUAGCAUGUUGGAUUGAUGUUUUAGACCUCUACGAUUGAGGUAGAUUAUUCUCUUGUUGAGUAACUUGCAUAUUGUACACAAUGUUACUUGUUGUCUUUGUGUUAAGUAGGAAAAACUUGCAAUAUUUUAUAGUUUUCAAUAUUAGGAAAGUAUUGAGAUUGAAGAAAGAAUUGAAUUCAGAUGUGUAUCACAACUGAAUGGGUUGGCCAUUUGUAGUUUGUUUAUUUUUGGUGUUUUUUAUUUUUACUUUUACGGAUAAAAAAGUAUAAAAAUUGCACUGUGCAAAAUUUUGAAGCUAGUAGCAGUAGAGGCGGCUCUGCUCUGCUGCCUAGUAUUAGAAAUGGAAAUUGAACUCUGCCUCUUGCAUUUUGAGUUUGGAUUAGGAUCA